rnacentral:tRNA from 1 species
GCAGAUAUAGCCGAGUGGUUAAAGCGACUGACUCGAAAUCAGUUUCCAUCUUGGAGCGUAGGUUCGAAUCCUACUAUCUGCG